GAUAAAAAAAAGCUAGGCCACGCCACGCCGUCACGCCUCAACAACAGUGAUUCAGCUUUCUGACAUUCCGUUAUCGGUCGUCGUCAGAUAUGAGCGGCAUAUCUACGUGUUGUCUAAAAGAUUUGUUCGUAUUUACGUACAAAAAGUGUUACAGAAUAUAGAAAGUGCCAUUAUAGGAUUACAAUGAAUAUACUUUAGAAAAAUAGUUGUGGUCAGGCGAUGGAACUUGCAUGAAGUAAAACCUUCACAUAAUUUCAAAUUAUGAGACGGGGGUGAAACUAGCUACAGGAUUGGUUAAAUUGUAAAAUAUUUGCCGAGAACCGUCGCAGAUACCUUCUGAGUUGGGCUUUCGCGUCACCGGUGCGUCAUGUUGUAGCCAUCGCAAGAUCCUGAAUGCCUGAUCCGCGUGGUUAUUGUCAGUAUGUUGCCAGUCUAUCGCGGCGUUAUAUCCUGACCGGUUACUAAAACUCUGGAAGCCAUCCGUUAAGAAGCACUGGUCUUUCACUCCAGAUAAUAGCAGGACCUGAUGGAUGGGCAAAAGUGCCUUUUUCUUUUUCACUUGUAAUGCAAGCAGUACGCUGUUGCCAUAGGAGGACCGAAUGAAAAAGUGCCUGUAGGUAACGAUUUUCAUUAAAGAUAUUAGAUGUGAUGUUGAAUUAUCUUCCUUCGACAUUUGUAACUUAUCUUUUAGGAAUGUCAACCAUUGUGAUAGUAGAAAUCAAUGAUAACGUUGUUUUUUUUCAGUUUUCAACAAUGAAUAUUAUAUUUUAACACUAGUAUGAAAAACUUUAAUUACAAAAAUUUAAUUUUUAAGCAAAGGAGACUUAUAAUUCUCGCUGUAACUCAUCCAUUGUGUAUCCAAUUGUAAGUUUUUGGCAAAUGUAAUUUUACUUUAGGUGCCUUUUCGUUUUAUUUUAUUUCUUGUGAAUUUAAUAGCGCAGUAAUUCUAUUUUUUUUGUGCAUUUCCACAGAUUGGUCGAAGAAUAAAACAAUUGUCUGCACUGAUAUCGUUAUUCAUGGACUUCGUUUGGUUUUUAUUCGUCUUCAGUUAAUCUUCGAUCACGAGUAAAAGCAUUUUCGAUUCCACCGAAACAACACUGAUCGUGAGCUACGUUUCUUCCUGCUCUGUUGGCUGAUUCAUCUUUGAAGCAUACAUUCUCCGCAAUUACUUAAGAUUAUCCAACAAAUGAGAGAGAAUAAAGUUCAACUUGGUAGUGCUCACACAACCAUUGUCUAUAUGGAUAUCGUCUUUCCUGGACUAUAUUCCUGAUUUUCUGUUUUUAUCGUCACCUUACAAGACGAGGAAAAGCAACUGGCCGUUCAUUCCAGAUAAUGGCGGGACCUGAUGGAUGGGCAAAAGUGCCUUUUUCUCUUUCCACUGGUAGUGCAAGCAGUAAUUGUUGCCAAAGAAGGACUUAAUGAAAAAGUAUCGAUUAUCCAACAAAUGAGAAAGAAUAAAGUUCAACUUGGUGGUAUUCACAUGGAUAUCGUCUUUCCUGGACUAUAUUCUUGAUUUCCUAUUUUCAUCGUCACCUUGCAACAUUAUACACGUAAUUGUCAACCGACGAGGGAAAGCAACUGGAGAUAUUCCACUGAAACAACAAAUUUUCGGCUAUGUGGUAGUCCUCCUGGAUUUUGUUUGCUUACAGUCUACAGUUAAUUAAGAUCGACGAUGGAGAAGACAAAUAAGAUGCGUAGUUAGUUCAUUAUCUUGCAUGCUCUAUCUAAUAGAAUUAAUUCUUGAAGUUUAUUUUAUUCAAAUUAAUUGUUUAUUUUGCAUG